rnacentral:rRNA from 1 species
UACGGGAGGCAGCAGUGGGGAAUAUUGGACAAUGGGCGAAAGCCUGAUCCAGCAAUGCCGCGUGAGUGAUGAAGGCCUUAGGGUUGUAAAGCUCUUUUACCCGGGAUGAUAAUGACAGUACCGGGAGAAUAAGCUCCGGCUAACUCCGUGCCAGCAGCCGCGGUAAUACGGAGGGUGCGAGCGUUAAUCGGAAUUACUGGGCGUAAAGGGCACGCAGGCGGUUAAUUAAGUUGGAUGUGAAAUCCCCGGGCUUAACCUGGGAAUGGCAUUCAAGACUGGUUAGCUAGAGUCUUGUAGAGGGGGUAGAAUUCCAUGUGUAGCGGUGAAAUGCGUAGAGAUGUGGAGGAAUACCGGUGGCGAAGGCGGCCCCUGGACAAAGACUGACGCUCAUGUGCGAAAGCGCGGGGAGCAAACAGGGAUUAGAUACC